UACGUAGGGUGCGAGCGUUGUCCGGAAUUAUUGGGCGUAAAGAGCUCGUAGGCGGCUUGUCGCGUCGGAUGUGAAAGCCCGGGGCUUAACUCCGGGUCUGCAUUCGAUACGGGCAGGCUAGAGUUCGGUAGGGGAGAUCGGAAUUCCUGGUGUAGCGGUGAAAUGCGCAGACAUCAGGAGGAACACCGGUGGCGAAGGCGGAUCUCUGGGCCGAUACUGACGCUGAGGAGCGAAAGCGUGGGGAGCGAACAGG
rnacentral:rRNA from 1 species